rnacentral:rRNA from 1 species
AGUGAACGCUGGCGGUAGGCCUAACACAUGCAAGUCGAACGGCAGCACAGGAGAGCUUGCUCUCUGGGUGGCGAGUGGCGGACGGGUGAGGAAUACAUCGGAAUCUACUCUGUCGUGGGGGAUAACGUAGGGAAACUUACGCUAAUACCGCAUACGACCUACGGGUGAAAGCAGGGGACCUUCGGGCCUUGCGCGAUUGAAUGAGCCGAUGUCGGAUUAGCUAGUUGGAGGGGUAAAGGACCACCAAGACGACGAUCCGUAGCUGGUCUGAGAGGAUGAUCAGCCACACUGGAACUGAGACACGGUCCAGACUCCUACGGGAGGCAGCAGUGGGGAAUAUUGGACAAUGGGCGCAAGCCUGAUCCAGCCAUACCGCGUGGGUGAAGAAGGCCUUCGGGUUGUAAAGCCCUUUUGUUGGGAAAGAAAUCCAGCUGGCUAAUACCCGGUUGGGAUGACGGUACCCAAAGAAUAAGCACCGGCUAACUUCGUGCCAGCAGCCGCCGUAA